rnacentral:rRNA from 1 species
CCCUAUGGGGUGCAGCAGGCGAAUGAAGAUGGAUCGCCAAAUCAUCAUUCUGCAGGAAAAAACCGAUCCACGGUUUCUCUGACCUCGGACAGCCAGCUCCGGCGCUGGCUGUCGCUGCUCGUCACGACAAUGCUGAACAUCCGGCGAUGGAAAUCCCUGACCCCGCACAGAUCGAAGAUGCAGUUCCUCCAGAUCGUCUCCAGGGGAUCCCCGAAGUCAUCCCGCUCUCUCUGUUCAGCCGUAUUGGAUGUGUUGAAGACAAGCGCUGUUUUGGCCUUGAGCAGACCCUGCGGGAUUCCCUCCCCUGCAUCCCCUUCCAGGAACUCAUAAGCGACACCGGGCCGCAGCACCCGAUCGAUCCACCCUUUCAAAUUGGCGGGGGGGC